rnacentral:lncRNA from 1 species
AAAUUAGUGACCUCGAGUUAAGAGAAGAAGGGGAGGUGGAGGUGCAUUUUUAGGAAAUAUUUAGGUAGCCUCAAGGAUUGUUGAAUCGACUUUCCGAAGAAAGUACCAUGCCUGGUUUAACCUGCUUUGCAGCUGUGGAUGUUCCACAGAGCCGGUCCCUUCAGAAGCCAUUGGCUUCUUGUCUGCAGUUGGGGUCUUUAUUGUUCUUCUGGCUGUCCUCUUCCUCUUCAUCAACAAGAAGCUGUGUUUUGAAACGAUAGGAGGUCUUCCAUAUCUGGAGCAACGAGGAAAAAGAAAGCACUCUAAAGACAAGACUGGGAUCCGUGAAGGCCUGGUGAACCCUGUCGACAGAGUGAUAAUUUAUAGUUGUCAUUCCACAGAAGCACGGGCCACUUGAUGCAAGAGAGAGUGAUGGAGAAAAACCUUACUUUUAGGUCAUUAACUCUUUGAAUGUUUCUUUUUAAAUUAUCUUGAAGCAAAAUACAAAUCAUGGCAUUAUCAGGCACAUUACAGAAAAUAUGGAGAGGCUUUCAAUGUCUAAUGUUUAGUUUUUAGCAGAAAACUCUUUUUUUUAAGUUGGUCUUUGAUCUUCCCAAAUCCCUCCACAGCUCUUCCGCCCCUAAACAGUAAUGCUUCUUAGAGCUGUAGUUGGUAGCUUAUCAUUCUAUGUGGGGAAGAUGUCAGAGUCCUUUUAAAGUUUUCCUGUGAGUUGGCCUUUUAGUCAAAGACAUAACUGGAAUUAGUUUUAAGAACAUUUCAGGGCAAAAGUUCCAUUUAGAAUUUCCCCAAAGAAUUUGAAACUGACCAAAAU